rnacentral:rRNA from 1 species
UGAACGCUAGCGACAGGCCGUAACACAUGCAAGUCGAGGGGCGAGCACAAGGAGCAAUCUGAGGUGGCGACCGGCGCACGGGUGAGUAACACGUAUGCAACCUGCCUGUAAGCGGGGAAUAACCCGUUGAAAGACGGACUAAUACCGCAUAAUACUAAAUUACUGCAUGGUAAUUAUUUAAACAUUUAUGGCUUACAGAUGGGCAUGCGCAUGAUUAGCUAGUUGGAGAGGUAACGGCUCCCCAAGGCAACGAUCAUUAGGGGUUCUGAGAGGAAGGUCCCCCACACUGGUACUGAGACACGGACCAGACUCCUACGGGAGGCAGCAGUGAGGAAUAUUGGUCAAUGGACGAGAGUCUGAACCAGCCAAGUCGCGUGCAGGAAGAAUGUCCUAUGGAUUGUAAACUGCUUUUGCAGGGGAAUAAAGUGCAUCACGUGUGAUGUUUUGUAUGUACUCUGCGAAUAAGGAUCGGCUAACUCCGUGCCAGCAGCAGC